GAACGCACAUUGCGCCCGCCAGUAUUCUGGCGGGCAUGCCUGUUCGAGCGUCAUUUCAACCCUCAAGCCCCCGGGCUUGGUGUUGGGGAUCGGCGUGCCCUCGCGGCGCGCCGUCCCCGAAAUCUAGUGGCGGUCUCGCUGUAGCUUCCUCUGCGUAGUAGCACACCUCGCACUGGAAAGCAGCGCGGCCACGCCGUUAAACCCCCCACUUCUGAAAGGUUGACCUCGGAUCAGGUAGGAAUACCCGCUGAACUUAAG
rnacentral:misc_RNA from 1 species